rnacentral:rRNA from 1 species
AUACGGAGGGUGCAAGCGUUAAUCGGAAUUACUGGGCGUAAAGCGCGCGUAGGCGGCUUGUUAAGUCGGAUGUGAAAGCCCCGGGCUCAACCUGGGAAUUGCAUUCGAUACUGGCUGGCUAGAGUUUGGUAGAGGGAAGUGGAAUUCCGGGUGUAGCGGUGAAAUGCGUAGAUAUCCGGAGGAACACCAGUGGCGAAGGCGACUUCCUGGACCAAAACUGACGCUGAGGUGCGAAAGCGUGGGUAGCAAACAGGAUUAGAGACCCUGGGAGUCCACGCCGUAAACGAUGAGAACUAGCCGUUGGGGGAAUUAUGUCCCUUGGUGGCGCAGCUAACGCGAUAAGUUCUCCGCCUGGGGAGUACGGCCGCAAGGUUAAA